rnacentral:lncRNA from 1 species
GCCAGUUCUCAAUUUCUAAAUCAGCUACACUAUACUUCUUAUCAGGUUAAAUUAUCUUGCUUUGUUUCAGUCUAUAUGUAGCAUAAAAAUAGGUGACGUUGUUGGUUUGUAUGUUACACUAAGAACACCACCAUAAGGAAAAGGGCAUUGCACUUCUUUGUUUAUAUUUGGUUUGUUCCUAUUCGGUUUGAUGUAGUACUUAAUUGCUAGACCAUUUUAAGUUUCUUGUUGUUUCAUUAUAUUCACUUAUAAUAUAUUUUUCAACUAUACAAGCACUUGGGGGAGUCAGGAAAACUGAAGCAAAGACAAACACUUUUACCGGUGAUAUUGGGGCUUUUUUUAACUGAGACAUGAAAGAUGCAUCUUAUCCCCUGAGAUAUAUUGCCUUAAAUCUCUUGAUUUUUUCCCUGACAUGCUAAUAUAGAGCUAGAUAUGCAUGAUUCAUCAUACACAUUACUGUCAAUUAUCUACUGGAAUUUUUUGUCCAUAGAGGUGAUUUUGUUUGGAUCAUUAGUCUAGGUAGUGAAAUUUUUUAUCCAUAAGGCACAAGUUUAUUUUCUUUUUCACCCGGGCUACACUAAAGUAAGCAUCACCGUCAAUGAAAAGAAGGCAUACAAAUCAUGAAGUUUUGGCCUUGCCUGUGUGCCUCGUUUAAUUGUCACUUAUUUAUUUCUAGGAAGUUAUUCAAUUCUCAUCGAGCUUUCCUUAUGCUUUAAAGAAGAAAUUUAAAUACACAAUAUUUUUAAUAUCCGAGGAGACGAGAGGAGAUGAAAAAGGGCUGUAAGGUUGUACUUUGGUGCGUCUCUGGCCAAUGAUGGCUGGAUCCAUCUGACGCUCUUCCAAGCAGAGCAGUUCAGAUUUGCUUCUGACUGGUACAACAUCUAAACCUUGGCUACUCUAGCUUCUUUUUACAUCUCUUAGUAUCAACAAAUAAGUUGGUUACAGUAUAUACUUGAAGAUUGCAGCAGGCACAAAAUGCUUGGCUAACCAGCCGGUUAAUUGAGUUGUGCCUAGGAAGGAUCAGUAGAGUAGUUGGUUUUUCCUAAAAUAAAUGAGGAUUAGUUUGGUUGCCAUGUGACGGUAAGGCCAAAAAUUGGUUCUGUAAUGGUCAUAUGUGUUGUGGAGUUGGGACUUGAUUCUUUUUAAGUUGGAGUGGCUAGGUUGUCUAUAUGUAUUGCAUUAUUUUUCUAUGGUGUACUAUUCUUUCUAAAUGAUUUUUAAAAGUUUAGUAUUUAAGUUUACGACAUUAUUUUGCGGUGUACUGUCCUUUCUACAACAUACUGUUAAUAUCUUAUGCUUUUCAACAUUGCACGGUUAAAACCUUCUAUAUAAGAUCUUGCACUUUCAACAUCUGCUCAUGGCGUUGUGUGUAUUCUGCUAUGAACUGUUUACAUUAUAGAGUUGUGGUACCUACAUUUGUGCAAUUCCUUCUAGCUGAUGUUUGUUGCUCAUACUGACAAAAGGUGCAUUAACAAAUGAUAGCGGAUCAGCGGAGAAACAUGUUUCUACAAAUGUGCCAAAACUGAUGGAUUUAACUACAGGUAUUGAUGUAUUGCAUUAUCCAACUGUAAGUCUGUUCUAAACUCUAAGCCCCAUGUAAAUCUGAUGGAAGAUUGGGCCAUUUAAUUUGAACCAAAAAGGGUGAUAUGCUCUCAGUUGCUUGAAUCUGUCCAGACCUGGAAAUUAGAUGUACUUGAAAGCUUGAUAUAUGAGUAGGAGAUAGUUGAUAAAGGUGUACCUCUUUUAUAACUAAUAUCCAUUUGAUCUUCGUUAAAUUUUGUAGGAUAUGCAUUGUUCUUGAGCAUAAGAAAUCCUUUCCCUCCCUGCAUUAUCUUUAUAUGUUAUAAAAAUGUUACACAUGUUUUGGUCCUCCAAAAGAUUAUUAGCCUAUAAUGUUAAUAACUCUUAUGUAUGGUGAUUGAGUGAGAUAUCCUUUUUAUCUCCAGGCAUUUCUUUCAUGUAGUGGAUAUACAAAAUAAACUGUAUGAUCUAGACUGUAGGAGCAACUGGUGCUUGUGGGACUGGUGCUUGCAGUUGUUGUGGCAACUGUUCUUGAGGGCCGAGCUGAAUGUAUUUGAGAAAGGUCUUUGCUUCAUUUUUUUUCUUUUGACGGGAUAAUGACUUGUCGUUUCAAAACACUUAGUAUGUGAUCUAUCCAUCAAAUUAUAGUAUAAUAAUUCAGCAAAAUCCCUUUAUUUGAACGAGCAAGAAUCUGUGGUGUGCUCCUGACCUAUGUUCCCCUUUUCAAAAUGUUAGAAAGGCUAUCUUAACUUAGUCGUUGCAUAGAAAUUGGUUUUGUCUAUUAGGCUCAUUUCAUAUCUGCAUCACUUAUUUGAACGACAAUGAACACUCCACAACUGAACUCACAUAAGACGGCUGAUAGAUGAUAUCUUGUCUGCUUAGUGAUUACCUAGAAUACUGGACUUUCCACCAACUUACAAAAAUAAUUUUUGCAGGUAUAUUUCAUUUAUCACUCCCCCAGCAGACAUGAGUUCUCGUGGCGGGGUCUUUCAUACCGUCAUGUUAGGAAUUUAUUAUUGGAAUUCAUAUGAGGUCCUUCUUCAGGUUUCCACUUGUUUCUUACUUAAGUUAGCUGUCCAUUCUGGAUUUAAUGUGAAUAUUGCCUUUGUAUUCCAUAUGAAAUUCUACUAUUUGUUUUAGCUUCUGUAGUUUUCUAUUCAUAAUCCCUAGACAUUAUCGUGUGUGUGUCGAUACACUUCAUGGAUGGCGAGGUUUAAUAUCGCUUGCUUGUCGCCUUCUCUACCCUCGACAUGCGGAAGGCCAAUAAAGGUGGGGAUGAGUCAUGGAUCCUACUGGUGAUGGCUACUGGUUGUAGACGAGAUUUAAGCACAGGAAUCACAAAAGAUGUUCUCUUUCCAAGAUUUUCAUAUCAUAUUUGUCAUGGGAUCUGAUUGCUUUACCAUAUUUUCCUGGUGUGGACGAUGUUAUAGAGUGAGCUACCAUCACUUCUCUACUGACUGUAAUCAAUAUAUAUGUGUUUAUGCCAUAAAAGAUGGAUAUUUGUCGAAGCCAUUGUCGUGUCAUGUAAUUACUUGCAGAUCAACUAUAUAGUUUUGUUCGGAUUGUAAAGUGGAAACAAUAAAACCUACAACUCAUGUGUGAUUGUCAUAUGAUUAUUUACUACAUCAAGUAGUAUGGAUAUGGUACUACCAGGAUAUUAACUAUAUUCAUGAAGUCUUUAUAAAAAAAAGUAUAUUCAUGAAGUUGUAUAAACCACGUUCUACGAUUCACUUCUGUUAUGCAUAUUUACUUUCCAG